UGUUAUCCCACUUUCCUCAACCACUCCCUACACAUUAGGGGCAAUUUUACAGACAAGUUAACCCACAAAUCCAAUGCCCAGAAUCAAGUGU